rnacentral:rRNA from 1 species
UACGGAGGGCGCGAGCGUUAAUCGGAAUUACUGGGCGUAAAGCGCGCGUAGGCUGUUGUGUAAGUUGGGGGUGAAAUCCCACGGCUCAACCGUGGAACAGCCCUUGAUACUGCGCGACUUGAAUCCGGGAGAGGGUGGCGGAAUUCCAGGUGUAGGAGUGAAAUCCGAAGAUAUCUGGAGGAACAUCAGUGGCGAAGGCGGCCACCUGGACCGGUAUUGACGCUGAGGCGCGAAAGCGUGGGGAGCAAACAGG